rnacentral:tRNA from 1 species
GCCAGUGUGGUGAAAUUGGUAGACACGUCGGAUUCAAAAUCCGAUUCCUUUGCGGGAGUGGCGGUUCGAGUCCGCCCACUGGUACCA